GGUAAACAAGUGAAGAGGAACAUCAUCGAUCAAACAUGGCAUCGUCGGAGAGGCGGUGCCACUACGAGGUCUUAGGUCUCGCACGCGACUGCUCACCCGAUGAGAUCCGCUCGUCUUACAAGAAGCUCGCUCUGCAGCGCCACCCGGACAAGCUCGUCCAAUCCGGCUUGUCCCAGGCCCAAGCCACGGCUCAGUUCCAGGAGCUGAGCCAGGCCUACGAGGUUCUCUCCGACCCUAAAGAGCGAGCCUGGUACGACUCUCACCGCUCCCAAAUCCUCUUCGCCGAUCCCAACUCGGCCAACUCGGUCCCGGACUCGGUCAUCCCCAACCUCUUCUCCUUCUUCUCCACCACCGUAUUCUCCGGCUACUCCGACUCCGGUCGCGGAUUCUACAAGGUCUACGCCGAUGUUUUCAAUAAAAUUUACGCCAACGAGCUCAGCUACGUUCGUAAAUUAGGGUUAGGGUUAGACACGGUGCGUGAAGCUCCGGCUAUGGGGAAUUUGGAAAGUCCCUACGCGCAGGUGACGGCGUUUUAUAACUACUGGUUGGGCUUUUGUACGGUGAUGGACUUUUUCUGGGUGGACCAGUAUGAUGUGAUGAGCGGCCCGAACCGGAAGGUGAGGAGGCUGAUGGAGGAGGAUAACAAGAAGCUGAGGAAGAAGGCGAAGAGAGAGUACAACGACACGGUGCGGGGUUUGGCAGAAUUUGUGAAGAAGAGGGACAAGAGGGUGAUGGAUAUGAUGGUGAAGAGGGAGGAGGAGAGGGAGAGGAAGAGGGAAGAAGAGAGAGAAAAGAAGAAGAAGUUGGAGAAGGAGAAAUUGGAGAGAGCUAUGGCGUAUGAGGAGCCGGAGUGGGCGAAAGUGGUUGAGGAAGAGGAAGGAGGAAAUGGGGUUGAGGAAAUGGAGGAAGAGGAGGAGGAGAGGAGGAGGAAGGAAUUGUAUUGUGUCGUAUGUGGGAAGAAGUUUAAGAGUGAGAAGCAGUGGAAGAAUCACGAGCAGUCGAAGAAGCACCGCGAUAAGGUUGCAGAGUUUAGGGAGUCAGUUGGGGAUGAAGAGUUUGAUGCUCAGGAGAUUUUGGAAGGAGAGGUUGAAGAAAGGGGUGAGGUGGAUGAUAUUGAUGGGGUUGAUACUGAUGAAUUAGGUGAGGGGAUUAGGGAAGGGUUGAAGAUUGGGGAGGAGGAAAAUGGGGUAGGAGUGAGUGAUAGGGAGGAUAAGUUUUAUGAAGUUGGUGAUGAAAAUGAGAGGGAAAAGGUUGAUGAGGCAGUUGGAUUGGAUGGAGAUGAUGGUGAAGAUGAGAUGGGUGUUCUGGAAGCAAUGUUGGCUGGCCGAAACAGUAGGAAAAAUGCAGCUUUGAGGGUUGAACAAGAGGAUUCCUUCGUGACUGAUAUUCAUGCGGAGAAUGAUGACAAUGAGGUAGAGUUUAUGGAAUAUGAUAACCGGAAGAGUACAAGAAGGAAAGGAGGAGCGAGGAAAGAUAGGAGUAAGAAGAGUAGUGGAGAAACUAAAAAGGUUGGUAGAAGUGAAAUUAAUAGUGAUCGGGGUGAGGAGCUUAAUGAACAUGAUAAUUCACAUAUAGAAGAAUCCGCAUCUCAUUCUUUUGUAAAAAAAGAGAGUAAAGGGGAUGAUCAGUUAGCAAGAAAGAAAAAGAGCUCAAGCCAACCCGUUGAUAAGAAAGAGAAUGUGAAGAAAGAGGCAAACAGCAAAUCAAAGAACUCAUCUAGAGGGAAGAAGCCCAAGGCAGCAUCAAAGAAUUCUAGCAAUCUGUGUGACACAUGCGGAGAGGAGUUCGACACAAGAAACAAGUUACAUAAGCAUUUGGGUGAUACUGGACAUGCUAAGCUGAAGUGAUGAGGGGAACAGUUGCUGAAUGCUUGAUGUGAUUAAAUUAUCAACCAUAGAAGAGUAUUGUAGUUGCUGAUCGGCGACAAUUCUUUAUUUGUACAAAGGCUGGCGGGAAGCAAUGAAGAGGCAUAUGGAUGACUGGAGGUUCACAGGGAAUGUUGAACUCUUAUCAUGGCUGUGGAAUUCCUCAGUCAAGAGUGCCGCAUAAAAAACUUUUUUCCCAGUCCAUUCCCCAUUGUUGAAUAGAUUGGGGCAUUGUAUCAUGUAUCCUAGUAAUAAUUUGGACGAAAAAACAUUUUACUGUCAAAUGGAAUACCGAUACAGAGGUUGGAAAGGAUUUAUUGAAUAUGUACGUUUGAAUAGCAUCGGAGGUUAACGAACCUCAUUUGG